AUGGAAACGGGCCGUCCAAGGUCAAGGGGUUAGGCACGGUGGCGGGCACCACGACGUGUCAUCCCCGCCCGCUCGCGUCUCGACCGUGGAGCGCUGAUCUGAGGCCGAGUCACAAACGAGGAGGAAAUACAAGAUGACAAAGACAAGAGCACGUUUGAUGAUAUCCAAUUCAACCGACAUGAAAACAUGAAGUCGACAUUCUUUGUUCACCUUUGUCAUGAAUAAAUAAAACACAUCUAUAAAGACGUCA